rnacentral:rRNA from 1 species
AUGGGCAAGGGCAAAGGAAAGACAGACUUGUCCAGCUUUGUUGAUCUGAGCGCCAAGGAACUUCAUUCCGGAUUUUUAAACCGCCUCUUCACAAGCCGGGAUUAUGAGGCCGGUUUGGUGAAUUUAAUGAAAGAGCGCUAUGAGGCUGAUAUAAAGACCAAAGAGUCUCAACUCGCCAAUCUUCAAGAAAAUAUUAAAUUCCAGCAAGAAGAGACCUUGAAAGCCAAAGAGGAGCUAAAGGGCGCUUUGACAACCAUGGAACAACUGAAAGAGGGCUUCAAAAUUGAACACACCAAUUGGGAGACUGAAAGGGCUGCUCUAUUGAAGUGGGCUGAAGACGCCGAAACGGCCCUUAAACCGGUUGAGGAAGAGCUGACUGGGCUGAAACGUCAAGUGAACGCCAUGACAACCGCCGUUUUUGGAAAUCGCAUUGCUCAUCUAGGCACAGAUAUACGGAUGAAGUUGAAGGCUGCGUACACAUUGAUUGAGCAACUGUAUAUGGGUGCACAACGAGACAUCUCUGCAGCUUCAUACAACAAACCGACACCCACCUUGGUCAAGGAUACCUUGGUCAGGCUCUCAAUGACUCCUGCUCAGAUAGAGGAGGUGAAGCGAUCGGCUGCCACAGCGGGCACUUUACUAGCACUGACUCGUGCCAAAUCAUGGAUAGCUGACCUGGACCCAGUUGACAUCGCCAAGGGUUAUCCGGACAAACAAGAAAACGGAGCAGCAUUUGAUAACGAUGCCCUGAAGGCUUUGACCAAGGAGAUGCGUCCAGUAGCAAGUCAGUUGGGUGACGAGGUGAAUUUGACUUCGCAUCGGUCUUUCUAUGAUGCCAACAACCAUCGAGUUGACACGGCUGUGAAGGAAGUGCGGAAUCUUAUUCCGCCAAUUCGUAAGCACACUUAUGCUCCUGACGUUGAACCGUCGAAUCUUAUAAGUGAAGAGGCUGUCUUUCAAGCUUUAACCCGGAUUGACUGGACCACCAUUGACUUCCAGCCACUGGGUGGAGAGGAGGAGGCUGAACCAACGCCUGAAGAUCCAUCAACAUUACGUCAAGCCGGCGAUGAAUCUUGA